UUAUUUUAGCGGCGGACGGGUGAGUAACGUGUGGGCAACCUGCCUUUUACUGGGGAAUAAUCACUGGAAACGGUGACUAAUACCGCAUAAUAUUCUUGGAAGGCAUCUUCCGAGAAGGAAAGGAAAUAUUCGGUAAAAGAUGGGCCCGCAUCUGAUUAGCUAGUUGGUGAGAUAACAGCCCACCAAGGCGACGAUCAGUAGCCGACCUGAGAGGGUGACCGGCCACAUUGGGACUGAGACACGGCCCAAACUCCUACGGAAGGCAGCAG
rnacentral:rRNA from 1 species